rnacentral:rRNA from 1 species
CCAGGUUGGAAAUAUACCCGGAUUAUGGGUGGGGAUCUCCGGAAGUUCAAGCAAUCUCGGGCUUGGUUAGUACUUGGAUGGGUGACCGCUUGGGAAUACCAAGU